rnacentral:rRNA from 1 species
UACGUAGGGGGCAAGCGUUAUCCGGAUUUACUGGGUGUAAAGGGAGCGUAGACGGUUAUGCAAGUCAGAAGUGAAAGCCCAAAGCUCAACUUCGGGACUGCUUUUGAAACUGUGUAACUAGAGUGCUGGAGGGGUAAGCGGAAUUCCUAGUGUAGCGGUGAAAUGCGUAGAUAUUAGGAGGAACACCGGCGGCGAAGGCGGCUUACUGGACUGUAACUGACGUUGAGGCUCGAAAGCGUGGGGAGCAAACAGG